UACGUAGGGUGCGAGCGUUAAUCGGAAUUACUGGGCGUAAAGCGUGCGCAGGCGGUUUUGUAAGCCAGAUGUGAAAGCCCCGGGCUUAACCUGGGAAUGGCAUUUGGGACUGCAAGGCUUGAGUGCGGCAGAGGAGACUGGAAUUCCUGGUGUAGCAGUGAAAUGCGUAGAUAUCAGGAGGAAUACCGAUGGCGAAGGCAGGUCUCUGGGCUGACACUGACGCUCAUGCACGAAAGCGUGGUGAGCAAACAGG
rnacentral:rRNA from 1 species